UUAAGCCAUGCAUGUCUAAGUACAAGCCCCUCUGGGGCGAAACCGCGAAUGGCUCAAUAAAUCAGUUAUGGUUCCUUAGAUCGUACUAUCCUACUUGGAUAACUGUGGUAAUUCUAGAGCUAAUACAUGCACAAUAGCUUCUUUGUGCCGAUCGCAUGGUCUAGCACCGGCGACGCAUCUUUCAAAUGUCUGCCUUAUCAACUGUCGAUGGUAGGUUAUGCGCCUACCAUGGUUGCAACGGGUAACGGGGAAUCGGGGUUCGAUUCCGGAGAGGGAGCCUGAGAAACGGCUACCACAUCCAAGGAAGGCAGCAGGCGCGCAAAUUACCCACUCCCGGCACGGGGAGGUAGUGACGAAAAAUAACGAUGCAGGACUCAUCCGAGGCCCUGUGAUUGGAAUGAGUACACUUUAAAUCCUUUAACGAGGACCUAUUGGAGGGCAAGUCUGGUGCCAGCAGCCGCGGUAACUCCAGCUCCAAUAGCGUAUAUUAAAGUUGCUGCGGUUAAAAAGCUCGUAGUUGGAUAUCGGUCGCGAUCAGGCGGUGC
rnacentral:rRNA from 1 species